rnacentral:rRNA from 1 species
GAUGAACGCUGGCGGCGUGCCUAAUACAUGCAAGUCGAGCGAAGCGGGGACGGGUGCGUAACACGUGGAUAACCUCCUAUAAGACUGGGAUAACUUCGGGAAACCGUAGCUAAACCGGAUACUUAGAGGUGGCACCGCGCUGAAUUAGCUAGUGGGUAAGGUAACGGCUUACCAAGGAAACGAUGCAUAGCCGACCUGAGAGGGUGAUCGCCCACACGAGACCGUGGACACGGUCCAGACUCCUACGGGGGGCAGCAGUAGGGAUUCUUCCGCAAUGGGCGAAAGCCUGACGGAGCAACGCCGCGGGAGUGAUGAAGGUCUUCGGAUCGAAAAACUCUGUUAUUAGGGAAGCGGUACCUAAUCAGAAAGCCACGGCUAACUACGGGCCAGCAGCCGCGGUAAUUC